UACGUAGGGUGCGAGCGUUAAUCGGAAUUACUGGGCGUAAAGCGUGCGCAGGCGGUUUGCUAAGACAGGUGUGAAAUCCCCGGGCUUAACCUGGGAACUGCGCUUGUGACUGGCAGGCUAGAGUACGGUAGAGGGGGUGGAAUUCCUGGUGUAGCAGUGAAAUGCGUAGAUAUCAGGAGGAACACCGAUGGCGAAGGCAGCCCCCUGGGCCUGUACUGACGCUCAUGCACGAAAGCGUGGGGAGCAAACAGGAUUAGAUACACCU
rnacentral:rRNA from 1 species